ACUUAAAAUUUUGUCAGAAACCAUGCCGGGCUAGCUGAAGGGUGGGGAGAGGGAAGAUGCACCCCACCACACUCUCGAGAAAAAAUACCUGCAAUAAACAAACCCGUGGGCCAGCUGCCGGGAGGACCAGCAGCCCAGCAAGGGCUCUGCUUCCUGGUCCGCGGCCCCUCCCGCUUCUCCGUGGUGACGCGGCUGCUCCCUCACAUCUGCACUGCCUCUGCCCUUUCCUGCCUCCCCUGUCCACCCGCCUGCCCCCACACGCCCUCAGCGGAGAGCAUGAUCCGUGACCUUGCUUCUGACUUUCACCUCUGGGACAAGUAAGUCAAUGUGGGCAGUUAGGUCGUCUGGGUUGUUUUUGUUUGUUUUCCCUUUUUCUGUUCGUUUCAUCUGCCCCUGCCCCCAGGUCGAUCACGUGGCUUUUUCUGGGGCCUGCCCAGCUUUGAGAAUCUUCUCAUCCACCCCUGACACCCAGCCUCGGGGGGACCGGACGGGAGGGACGGGGCAUAGCGGGAGACCCGGCCAAGAGCUGAGGGAAAGGGCAGGUAGGCGUGAAGCUGUGGACAUUUCGGAGUGUUUGGGUUUUGGUUUCGUUUUGUUUUUUUUAAACCGGGCAAUAUUGUGUUCAGUUCAAGCUGUGAA